rnacentral:misc_RNA from 1 species
GAAAUGCGAUAAGUAAUGUGAAUUGCAGAAUUCAGUGAAUCAUCGAAUCUUUGAAUGCAUCUUGCGCUCCUUGGUAUUCCGAGGAGCAUGCCUGUUUGAGUGUCAUUAAAUUCUCAAACCAUGACUUUUUUGUUAUGGCUUGGAUAGUUGGGUGUUGCCAGCUUUUUAUUGUAGGCUCACCUUAAAUACAUAAGUGGUGUAUUUAGAAACUUGUUAGGUGUUGUAAAUUAUCAAUACAUCUAUGUUUCUCUGAAUAUACUGCUUCUAACAACCUCAUCUGAUGAUUUUGACCUCAAAUCAGGUAGGACUACCCGCUGAACUUAA